rnacentral:lncRNA from 12 species
CAGCAGGGGACAGGGACGGGCUCCUAAACCCUGCUCAGGGCCAGCAGGGGACAGGGACGGGCUCCUAAACCCUGCUCAGGGCCAGCAGGGGACAGGGACGGGCUCCUAAACCCUGCCUGGGGCCAGCAGGGGACAGGGACGAUCCUGGAUCGGGGUCAGCGGGGCAGGGCAGGGUGGAGGCACCAGGCAGGAAUUUGGAACCAGGGAGGAUGGGGGAGCUGGGAUGGGAAUGAUGGGGGAACUGGGAUGGGAAUGAUGGGGGAACUGGGAUGGGGGAGAUGGAAUGGGAAGGAUUGAGGAGUUGGGAUGGGAAGGAUGGGGGAGGUGGAAUGGAGGAGUUGGGAUGGGAAGGAUGGAGGAGAUGGGAUGAGAAGGAUUGGGGAGCUGAGAUGGAGGAGCUGGGAUAGGAAGGAUUGGGGAAUUGGGAUGGGGGCACUGGGAGGAUGCAGGAACAGCAGAAGGAUGCAGGAGCAGUAGAAGGAUGCAGGAGAAGGUCCUGGGAGGAUUGAGGGGAGCUGGGAUGGGAAGGAUGGCAGGAAAGGCACUGGAGGACGCAGGAACAGCAGAACCACGCAGGGUUGAAGAGCCAGCCAGGUUUAAAGAGCAGCGAUCUCCAGGACGUGGCUGGAGUUUUCCCCCUCUUUCCUCUGUUUUUCUUCUUCCUGGGAAUUUUACCUUGGGGUGCUCCCAGGCCUCAGGGAGGAGCAGGGCAGCUUUUUGGGGUGGCAACUUGUGCCCAUCCCACAGGGCCCUGCGGGCUGAGGGACCACCCGGCGUCCCCCACGUGUCCCCGUGGGUGGAUUCUUUGAUUUUUGUGUCCCUCAGGCUGCGGGGGGACUGCCAAGGUGAGGGAAGGAUCCUUGCCCCUGGCAAAGGUGUUUCUGCCAGCUCGUUGUGUUUUUUGGAGGAAUCCAGUGGGAAUUCUCAGAAUCUGGGAAUUCUGAGAAGCUGCAGCCCCCCCCCCCAAAAAAAAAAAAAAAAACCCCCCCCCCCCCCCCCCCCCCCCCCCCCCCCCCCCCCCCCCCCCCCCCCCCCCCCCCCCCCCCCCCCCCCCCCCCCCCCCCCCCCCCCCCCCCCCCAAAACGCCUCGGAGGGAGAGGGGGAGCUCUGUGCGGAGGCUGCAGGGGGAAGCUGAGCUUCCCUCCCUGCAAACUGGGGGAACUGGGAGCAGCUGCUGCGCACGGAGCUCCCCACACCCCUCCCCUCAUCCCCGCCUGUCCAUCUGUCCGUCUGUCCUGGGAGGGCCCCCCUGGUCCUCUGCAGCACCCCAAGGACCGGGGGACACCCCAAAAACCCUCCUGGCCCGUCAUUUGGGGGGGGAUAACCCAGCCCCUGGAGGUUCUCUGUGACUCCAGCUCCUUCCCCUUGAGGGGUUUUCUUGCAUCCUCCAGAGCUGCCCAGUUCCUCCCUGCGGAGGAAGAGCUCGGCUGUGGCGGCUGAGGAAUGACCCAGAAGGUCCUGGUGCCCCAAAAAUGCCAGAGAAAUGACCCAGCGGGUCCUGGCGCCCCAAAAAUGCCAGAGAAAUGAUCCAGCGGGUCCUGGCGCCCCAAAAAUGCCAGAGAAAUGAUCCAGCGGGUCCUGGCGCCCUAAAAAUGCCAGAGAAAUGAUCCAGCGGGUCCUGGCGCCCCAAAAAUGCCAGAGAAAUGAUCCAGCGGGUCCUGGCGCCCUAAAAAUGCCAGAGAAAUGAUCCAGCGGGUCCUGGCGCCCCAAAAAUGCCAGAGAAAUGAUCCAGCGGGUCCUGGCGCCCUAAAAAUGCCAGAGAAAUGAUCCAGCGGGUCCUGGCG